GCCCGCCUAGCUCAAUCGGAUAGAGCGUCAGACUCUUAAAGCAGGUGGGCUCAUGUAUCUCCUGGUUAUUCUUGAGAUCUGAAGGCUGCGAGUUCGACCCUCGCGGUGGGCU